GAUGAACGCUGGCGGAGUGCCUAAUACAUGCAAGUCGAGCGAACAGACGAGGAGCUUGCUCCUUUGACGUUAGCGGCGGACGGGUGAGUAACACGUGGGUAACCUACCUAUAAGACUGGGAUAACUUCGGGAAACCGGAGCUAAUACCGGAUAAUAUUUCGAACCGCAUGGUUCGAUAGUGAAAGAUGGCUUUGCUAUCACUGAUAGAUGGACCUGCGCCGUAUUAGCUAGUUGGUAAGGUAACGGCUUACCAAGGCAACGAUACGUAGCCGACCUGAGAGGGUGAUCGGCCACACUGGAACUGAGACACGGUCCAGACUCCUACGGGAGGCAGCAGUAGGGAAUCUUCCGCAAUGGGCGGAAGCCUGACGGAGCAACGCCGCGUGAGUGAUGAAGGUCUUCGGAUCGUAAAACUCUGUUAUUAGGGAAGAACAAACGUGUAAGUAACUGUGCACGUCUUGACGGUACCUAAUCAGAAAGCCACGGCUAACUACGUG
rnacentral:rRNA from 1 species